GGAACGAACUCUGGUAUUGAUUGGUGCUUGCAUCAUGAUUUACAUUUGAGUGAGUGGCGAACUGGUGAGUAACACGUGGGAAACCUGCCCAGAAGCGGGGGAUAACACCUGGAAACAGAUGCUAAUACCGCAUAACAACUUGGACCGCAUGGUCCGAGUUUGAAAGAUGGCUUCGGCUAUCACUUUUGGAUGGUCCCGCGGCGUAUUAGCUAGAUGGUGGGGUAACGGCUCACCAUGGCAAUGAUACGUAGCCGACCUGAGAGGGUAAUCGGCCACAUUGGGACUGAGACACGGCCCAAACUCCUACGGGAGGCAGCAGUAGGGAAUCUUCCACAAUGGACGAAAGUCUGAUGGAGCAACGCCGCGUGAGUGAAGAAGGGUUUCGGCUCGUAAAACUCUGUUGUUAAAGAAGAACAUAUCUGAGAGUAACUGUUCAGGUAUUGACGGUAUUUAACCAGAAAGCCACGGCUAACUACGUGCCAGCAGCCGCGGUAAUACGUAGGUGGCAAGCGUUGUCCGGAUUUAUUGGGCGUAAAGCGAGCGCAGGCGGUUUUUUAAGUCUGAUGUGAAAGCCUUCGGCUCAACCGAAGAAGUGCAUCGGAAACUGGGAAACUUGAGUGCAGAAGAGGACAGUGGAACUCCAUGUGUAGCGGUGAAAUGCGUAGAUAUAUGGAAGAACACCAGUGGCGAAGGCGGCUGUCUGGUCUGUAACUGACGCUGAGGCUCGAAAGUAUGGGUAGCAAACAGGAUUAGAUACCCUGGUAGUCCAUACCGUAAACGAUGAAUGCUAAGUGUUGGAGGGUUUCCGCCCUUCAGUGCUGCAGCUAACGCAUUAAGCAUUCCGCCUGGGGAGUACGGCCGCAAGGCUGAAACUCAAAGGAAUUGACGGGGGCCCGCACAAGCGGUGGAGCAUGUGGUUUAAUUCGAAGCUACGCGAAGAACCUUACCAGGUCUUGACAUACUAUGCAAAUCUAAGAGAUUAGACGUUCCCUUCGGGGACAUGGAUACAGGUGGUGCAUGGUUGUCGUCAGCUCGUGUCGUGAGAUGUUGGGUUAAGUCCCGCAACGAGCGCAACCCUUAUUAUCAGUUGCCAGCAUUAAGUUGGGCACUCUGGUGAGACUGCCGGUGACAAACCGGAGGAAGGUGGGGAUGACGUCAAAUCAUCAUGCCCCUUAUGACCUGGGCUACACACGUGCUACAAUGGAUGGUACAACGAGUUGCGAACUCGCGAGAGUAAGCUAAUCUCUUAAAGCCAUUCUCAGUUCGGAUUGUAGGCUGCAACUCGCCUACAUGAAGUCGGAAUCGCUAGUAAUCGCGGAUCAGCAUGCCCGGGGGAAAAACCUUUCCCGGGCCUUGUACACACCGCCCGUCACACCAUGAGAGUUUGUAACACCCAAAGUCGGUGGGGUAAG
rnacentral:rRNA from 1 species